rnacentral:lncRNA from 1 species
GGAGACGGCAGCCAGGCGGGAGUGGAAUGGGCACAAGGGAGGGGCUGGUUGGAGGUGGGAGGAACAACCCCCACCAAACCCAGAGCCGAAAACUGAGGGAGUUUUACAGACAGGACGGAGCUCCUGCACCUCGGAGCCUCAGUUGGGAAUGACCUGGGGUCUUGUCCUGAAGCUGAGUCUGGUGAACGUGCCCCAUUUGUAACAUGAGGGGUACUUCUCUGGAGGGACUGUAUGUUGACAGUGGCAGAGUGG